ACGGCGUAACGCUGUGUAUGUUCUCACACAUCACAAUCCCUGAAUGCUUAGAUUUACAAUCUUUGUGUCUAGGACAUCAACUGGGACUUUCUCCAUUAAAUUGAAUUGAAUUGAAUGGAGGAAAGAGAAGAAGCAAGCAGAAGAUGCAGCUCAUUGUUGAACAGAAUUCAGAGCUUGCCGCUUUCCAAAAUCACACCCUCUUGCAAGGCUACCUUGCUUCGUUUAACCAAUUCUGAGCUCAAUUUUCUUUCACGUCUUACUCAUUCUACUUCCAAUCCUUCCUCAUCAUUCAGCUGUAAUGUAGGCUAUUUUGAGGCCAUUGUUCACAUUCUUGAACAGCCAUACAUAAGGGGAGUGUCACGUGUUUGCAAGUCAAUCCCUUUGUCAUCUACAACUAGCCAUAUAGAGGAAAAAACCGAUUCACAAUUUGAAGCUGUCCAUAUUGACAUCGUUUGUAGUCUACAUAACAAUCCCACAUGGUUUAUUGUAUCUGAUCGUAACCCUAAAUACAUUACUUGGGAUAGUUCAGGGAGAAACAAGGGUCUUAAAAUGCGGAUUGAGCAAAUAGUUCACGCUGCUCAGUUGUCCCUGGCAUUGAAGCCUGUCUCUAUUGUUCUCUUCUUUGCAAAUGGGCUUGAUGUUACAGUUCGUGAGAAGCUCAUGGCGAAUUCUGAUUUUAGAAUAUAUAAUAUGGAGUUUCCGCAUUUCGAGUUUGCUUUCUCUGGUGCAUUAGAAAGUGAAUGGAUCAAUGUUCUUGGAAAAUCAUAUCAAGGGGCAUGCACUCUGAUUAUGGAUGUUGAUCAAUGUGCAAAGCCUUGUCAAAGCAUUGACGAUGUAACAGAGCUGUGUUCUUAUAAUGUUCAUAAGGAGUUCAGAGAGACAUGUUAUGAGUCAAGGUUGUCAUCACCAUUCCGUUGUCUAAUUAUGAAGAUGAAAGAGUGGCCUUUGGAUAAUAAAGAUUUACGAUCUUGCAGAAGAGAGGAGCUCUUGAGAGAUAAUGAUGUAGUCAAUUUUGAUACAACUGCUUUAAUUGCUAUUAUAUCAGGAAUAAGUAAUGGCAGUGCAGAAAAGCUUUUGGCAAGAUCAGACAAUGAACUAAGGCAACGAUUUAAGAACAACACUGAGUUUGUGAUUUCUCAGGCACUGUCUGAAAUUGAGAGUCCAAUCCAUGAAGAACUGAACUCUGCAUUAUCUGGGAAAAUGGGUAUUGCAUGCAAAUCUGUUCAUUCAGAGUUUAUGGAGUUGGUUUCUAUGUUUGCAGGCCCUAAUGAGCAGAUGAGAGCUAAUUACUUGGUCGAGCUUCUUAAGUAGAUAUUGCUUUUUGUGGAGGUUGGCUCCUAGACCAGAAAUUUGUGAGAAAAUAGAGAAGGCUUGAAGCAUAAGCUGAAUAGAAGAGGCAUCAGCUCUAGAAAACAUCAACAGGUCAUCUGCAAACUGAGUAAUGUGAAGUCUUUCACAUCUUGGAUGGUAAUUAAAGUUAGGAUUGAUCUUUAAAGUAGCAAGAUAUCUUGACAAAUAUUCUGUCCUAAUAGCGAAAAGGAAGCGUAGAUAUGAUCUCCUUGUCUGAGGCCUUUCUUUGCCUGAAUAGGCUCACAAGGCUUGCCAUUAAUCAAAAUGGAGUAAGAAACUGCCAACACAAAAGCCAUAAUCGAUGUCCACAGAGUUCAGGGAAUCCUAAUUCAAGUAGUAACUUUGAAGAAAAGGCCACUAAAUGGAGUCAUAGGCUUUUCUGAGAUCCACUUUGAUAAUGCAUCUAGAAGAAGUCAUGACAAGUAGGGUUUCUCCCCACCUUCUAUCUACUGCAUCAAUUCCUCCUGGUUCUUCACUUUCUUCCUCAUUUUCUUCAAGAAUGAAUUCAGAGGUUGCACAGGAGUGUUAAUGAAACUUGGAAGAUUUGAACUAACUGGACCAGUUUUACCACUCUCCUUAGUUGUAUUGUUAGUCAACACAUCAUCAAUAGGGAUAGUGGCUUGGGUGCUUUAGACAAUUUGAACAGUCUUUUGGCACCCAUUUUUAACCACCUUAGGAGGCUUCUUCUGUUGUCGGGGGAUAGUUUUUCUUCAGAGCACAGUCAUGCCCCACUUUCUGACAAGAGUUGCAAUUAGGAGGCAUCCGAUCAUAAGUGACUGCUUGCUUAAUUGUAGUACUAUUAGAGUCUUCAAACAGGACAUACUCUGGCAACUCCUUAGUCACAUCAAUUUCAGUGAGAAUUCUUGCAAAGGAGAUUCUCAACUGCCUUGAAAUACAUUCAUCAGUAAAUAAAGGCACCCCCAAAAGACUUCCAAGUCUGCUAAGAGAAUUGGCAGUCAACAGUUGAGUGGCAGAUUAGGAAGUCUAACCCAAAUAGGAAUUACUUUCAGAACUUCCUCAUUGAAGUUAAUAGUUGGAGUCCAUGGUUUGAUGAUCAAUGGUCUACUUUUGUAACUAUGUGGACCAGCAUAUAGCACGUCAUUUCUGUCAUCAACGGAAGUAAACUUCACAAUAAAGAAGCCAUCAUCAUGCAAGAAGAUUUGAGGCUCUCAAACAAAAUUCCUCUCUGUUGCAAUAUACGAGUAAGAGUUCCAAUAGAUGGGGUGUCACCAACCACAUAUAUCACCAAGGAUGUUGCCCAGAUUUCGGAUAACUUGUCAAUUUCAGAUUGCUCUAAACAAGCUACUGAUUCACCAUUUUUAA